AUCUCGGCCCACUGCAACCUCCACUUCCUAGGUUCAAGUGAUCCUCCCACCUCAGCCUCCCGAGCAGCUGGGAUUACAGGCAUGUGCCACCACACCUGGCUAAUUUUUGUAUCUUUAUUAGAGACAGGGUUUCACCAUGCUGGCCAGGCUGGUCUUGGACCUCUGACCUCAAGUGAUCCACCUGCCUCGGCCUCCCAAAGUGUUGGGAUCACAAGCAUGAGCCAUCAUGCCCAGUUUAGCAAAAACAAAUUUUCAAAGUGAUAAUAGUUGUUGAGGGAAGUUCUCAUGUGGGAAAAUUUCAAUCUUGGUCCUGAACUCAAAAAAACUGCAGUAAAUCUUUGCCACUGCUAAGCCACUGAACUGCUGUUGGCAGGGCAAGUCAGGAUAUUCAGUUCCUAUUUCUAACAAAAAUUCACAGCAUUUGUGAUGGCUAAGUCCAUGAGAGUGAAUAAGGUUCACUGUUGACACUUUGGUUCAAUGACAUAUGACACAUUCAAAUCUUCUCUGCAAAGUACCUGGCUGAUGAAUAAUAAAAUAAAUAACCAUAGGCUUUAAAUACCUUACAUUUUCUCAAGCUUUAUAAAUUAAUGCAACUAAGCCAUCUUCUCCACAUGUAUUUUUUUUUACCACCAUUUGUUGUAGCACAUCUUAGCAGAUUCUACUUCAGGUUGUACUGAAUUUGUGUUUUCUCAGCCUGUUUGAAAAUACUCUUCUCUGUACUUCUGCCAAACAGACUAUUUACAGGGGCCAACUCUUCAGUCUCUUCAACCAUGGCACUGAUUCCAAGUAAUAAUUGAGCAGUACCAGUGACAACUCUGUCAAUUCCUCAGGAGCCAAGAAAAACACUCAAAAUAAUCUGCUUUGCUUUUUGACUACUGAUAUUGCUCCCAAUGUCCUUAAGUCUUCAAGCAAUUGUUAUUGCUGAAAGCCUCCUAUCCUUAAAUAAGUUUACUUUCUCUGCACACAUUACUUUGGCUGCUGCUAUUAAACAUGAUUUAAUUAACUCAUGAUUGGUAAGUGGUUUUUCUUGCUUAGCUAAAAAAUGAGCCACUUGAAAUAUCACUUUGGGAACAGCCUCAUUUUUAUUUUUAGUGAAGAAAUUCUGCUGUGAUGAGAUAUUCCAUUCUAAAGUUUCUAACUUUUCUGACCAUUGCUUUCCUGUGAGUUGGGAAUAUCGUUGUAUUUAGCCUAAUAACGUACAGCUCUCACAUAACUGCACAAUAACUACAAUGACUUGCCAACAAUUUUGUAAAAUAACCCACAUUCUACUGUGUUAAAAGCCACAAUGCUCACAAUCUACUUUUCUUGUUGUGAUGAUGGAUAAGUACUUGUAAUUUUUUUUAAGUCACAGUGCCAUGGUAUGUGUGGCUCUCAACAUACUGUCCAAUUAGGAAUACAUCAUUGUGAUUUGCAGUACUCUAAGCAGCAGUGCGAAGCUGGGAGAGCAUGACCUCGAUCUCUACUGCACCUACUCAUCUCUGCUGUUGGAGAGUAGAAGCACACACACACACUACAUUAGAAAAUGAGCAUGGCUGUCUUCCAAAAAAACUUUAUUUAUGGACACAGAAAUUUGAAUUUUAUAUAAUUUUCACAUAGCACAAUGUAUCCUUUUUACUUUUUUAACCAUUUAAAAAUAAAAAAAGAAAAAGAUUACUUUUUAAAAAAUGUUCUUAGAUCACAGACUAUUCAAAAACAGGUGGAGGACUAGAUGUGUCCCAUGGGCCAUAGUUUGCUGACCUCAUGCUGUUACAUUAUACAAUCCAUUGUCCAGUCUCACAUCAUAGUUAAUAGAUUAAUAAUAAGGUACACUCAGAUUGAAAACCACAGCAGAGCAGGCUUGUACUAAUUUAUAUUGUAAAUGUUGAAACUAUGAGCUUCCAAAAUAAUGCUUUUAUUCAAAAAUUAUUAAUAAACAUUUCAUAGAAGUCUGUCCAUACUUGGUGCUGGACUGGGGGUAGCAGGUAGGUGCUACCAAAAAUUAUUAUUAAAUAUUGAAUUAGGCAGGGGAUUCAGAGCUUAAAAAUAUUGCAAAACUUGGAACAUUUUAACCAAUGCGACAUUGAAUACUGUCACCUGAUGAGCUCAUUUCAUUAGAAAAAUAAUUACCAAAUGAUAACUAGUUCAUCAAAACACUCUUGCCCAGCAAUUUAUCCUCUCCCAUGUAUAAGAACAGUACACACACUACAGCAAAAGAUUGCAAACAACCUAGGUAUCCAUCACUAGGAGCCUGGCCAAAUAAAUUACAAUAUGCUGAUACAAGGGAAUUCUAGGCAGCCAAUUAAAUGACUGAAGAAAAAAUAAAAAAGAACAAGCCAGGCACAGUCGCUCACACCUGUAAUUCUGUAAUUUGGGAGGCUGAGGCUGGUGGAUCACCUGAGGUCAGGAAUUCGAGACCAGCCUAGCCAACAUGGUGAAACCCCAUCUCUACUAAAAAUACAAAAAUUAAGCCAGGCAUGGUGGCCUGCGCCUGUAAUCCCAGCUAAUUGGGAGGCUGAGGCAGAGAAAUGCUUGAACCCAGGAGGCGGAGGCCACUGCACUCCACCCUGGGCAACAGAGCAAGACUCCAUCUACAAAUAAAUAAAUAAAUAAAAUAAU